UACACUCCUACGGGAGGCAGCAGUGGGGAAUAUUGGACAAUGGGCGCAAGCCUGAUCCAGCCAUGCCGCGUGAGUGAUGAAGGCCCUAGGGUUGUAAAGCUCUUUCACCGGUGAAGAUAAUGACGGUAACCGGAGAAGAAGCCCCGGCUAACUUCGUGCCAGCAGCCGCGGUAAUACGAAGGGGGCUAGCGUUGUUCGGAUUUACUGGGCGUAAAGCGCACGUAGGCGGACUAUUAAGUCAGGGGUGAAAUCCCGGGGCUCAACCCCGGAACUGCCUUUGAUACUGGUAGUCUUGAGUUCGAGAGAGGUGAGUGGAAUUCCGAGUGUAGAGGUGAAAUUCGUAGAUAUUCGGAGGAACACCAGUGGCGAAGGCGGCUCACUGGCUCGAUACUGACGCUGAGGUGCGAAAGCGUGGGGAGCAAACAGGAUUAGAUACCCUAGUAGUCCCAUGAU
rnacentral:rRNA from 1 species